AGGAGAGGGAGAUGGUAGCGGUGGAGCGGAUGUUGAGACUGGCUGAGCAGUGCCUGGAGCGAGCCAAGUCAUUUAUAGAGAGGAACCGCCCUGAUCCCCCUGACUUCUCUUCCUCUGCCUCUGCGUCCUCUUCCUGUUCACCUGGCCAAUCAGAACCCCAUCAGUCUGCUGUCCUCCCAAUCACCACUGCUGCAAACACUGGGGUUUCUCUCUGCUUGACCUCUGCUGUCACUGUCCCUCCAUCUGGUGUUCCUGUUGACACAGGGUGUGAAGCAACCAGCCCAGCAAAGACUGGUCACCGCAGGGUGAUGUCAGAUGGUGGCGGGGAGCUCUCCCCUUUUCUGCCCCCUGAAGUCUUCCAGAGACUUCAAACAGUAGAGUCACAGGGCACAAGCAAAAAGGAGCUGACACCCAUUGAACAAGCUUCACGUUUGAACCAGAAGUUAAAAGCCGAUUAUGAAGCUCGUCUAGCAAGGCUGACACCUGGUCAGGCCUACCAAAAGACAUCUUUGAUACGGAAAAUGUUUCGGUGUCAAGUGGAGCUCCGAGCGUACUGGAGAAAACUAAAGGCGUUUGUAAAGACACUCUCUCUCCAGCGGCAGAUGAUGGAGAACCUCAUCAUAGCCAAGGCCCGUCAGGAUGCUCUCCAGCGGAAGAUGGAGGAGAGAAGACUUAGGCUACAGGAAGAGGCUAACAGGAGAUUUGCAGCAUCUGGUGCAAUGACUGCAGAGGAGCAAGAGCAGCGAACUCUCUAUACCAGCGUACUAGAGUAUGAACAAGACCAUGAUUGGCCCAAACUGUGGAAAGCCAACAUGAAGGAGAAUCCAAAUGAUGUUACAUUAGUGUCACGUCUAGUCUCCUACCUGCUCAGCCAGUCUGACCACCCUGUGGUGAAGCUGCUGAGGAAACACCAGUACCGGGUUUACAACAGACUCUAUCCUAUGAUUAGCAAAAGCCUCCCCCAGAGUCCUAACCUGCUGCUGAGACCCUCUUGCAGCACUCACACCCUGCUCCAUCCAGAGACCCAGAGGAAGCCAACCAGCACCGUGAGCAGUAGCAGCCAGAGCGUCAGCACCAGCUUGUCACUUUCCCCCUCGCUCUCUCAUGACCUCCACGCCAACUGUGACAAUGAGGAAGGGGAGGAGCUUCCUGCACAGGCGACAGUGGACCGGGAGAACUCGUUUGAAGAUCUGGAACAGUUUCUGACCCAGAUGGACUGGGCCCCACCCCACAGUAGCAGAGGUGACGUCGGCUCAGAUUCAGACCCUACCUGUGAUAGCUCAAUGCUGAAUGAGGGCCACACACAGGAGCUGGAGAUGAGAGCACUGAAAGAACAUCUGAAGGCCAUCGUCAAAGACAUUCAUAUUGCAAUUGAUCAGCUUCUGUCAUUGUGUUUGCUGUCCUUUGAGUUUCUAAACACAGCAAGUUCCAAAGACCUGUGCCUUGCCAGCAUAGAGGAGGCUUUCUUCACACCCCUGUGGAGCGCUCUGGUGGCUCUUUUCAGGAAGGUCAACAGGGAAAGAGAGCAGGCCUUUGAAACAAGUAUGAAACUAUACCGGGAUGCCUCACCUGGAGAUGUCGGUGUUCCCUUGAAACUGUUCCCCCAAGAACCUGGCACACUACAAGGUUCCUACCCCUAUGAGUCUGCUGUUCAGGAGCUUAAGCUUCUUGUUAAAGACUGUUGUCCACAGAAGAAGUUGGAAUGUAUUGUUAGGACAUUACGUGUGAUCUGUGCCUGUGCUGAAGAUUACAGGUGUCUUCAUGAGGUGGACUCUACACCCAAAACAGCCGCUAUCGGAGCAGAUGACCUGUUGCCCAUCCUGUCCUUUGUGGCUCUGCAGUGCCAGUGUCCUCAGCUGGUGUCUGAAUGUGCUGCUUUGGAGGAGUUCAUUCAUGAAGGCCCUCUGUUUCAGCUACCUGAUAGGAGAGGAGGGCUACUGUCUGACCUCUAUGCAGAGUGCCCUGGCCUAUGUUGAGUCACUACACACAGGAGGAGCUCACUUUCCUGCAGACAAGCUCAUAUGAAAAAGAUGUUUCACCUCAUCGAAAAAGACUGCAGAUGGGGAUGGUGCCUGGAUGAUGCAGGAGGCUAUGAUGGGCUCAUGGCUGAAUAUCAGCAGAAGCCUGUGGACUUGAAGAAAAAACAACAUGCCACUCUGAAUCAGUCACAAUCACCACCAGCAGCCACUACAGCACCACCCAGCAUGUCAAUCGCCUCUUGCUUGCUUUCUCUUGUUCUUUCUCUCCUUGAAUGUCUUCUUUGUGUCCCUUUCUGGUUCAUUUACCUUGUAACCCCCAGACCACUGAGUACACUGGUCACUACCUCCUGAUGAGGGUUUUAAUAACCAUCAUACAGUGCAGCAGUGCAGUGUCAGUAUUAGCUGUAUACUUAGCAUCUUAAACCAUCACAGUUACAUUUUCAGCCUUAUAUUUUAAAGCUUUGUUUGCUCUUAAUCGGUUUCCCUCCAGGAGUAAGCUUAAUAACACCAUCAUCGGCAUGUUACUGAAGCUAGAGCCAGAGACAAUUAGCUAGCUUAGCAUAAAGACUGGAAGCAGGGGGAAACAGACUGGCUACCUCCAAAGAUAUUUGCCCCCAAACUUCUCUAAAGCUUACACAUUAUAUUUUGCUUGUUUGCCUGUUUCAGUCACAACUUUGUUGUCACCAUUUGUUUUAUGUACAAAUCCCUCUUUGAAAGGAGCCAGACUGGCUGCUGUGUCUCCAUUUGCUGUCAUAAUUCUAAUUCAAGCUACUUGCCGCCUGCUGGCCAUUAACAUUAGACCACUAUUACAUUACAUGAAUAUGAUAAUGCGCUGAAUAUGACCAUAUAUAUUUGUGUGUAUUAAUAGUUACCUUUAAUACACUGUCAACAUGAAAAAUGACUACAGCCUCUCAGUGAAGAGCAGUGUACUAUCAGAGGAUCACCACUGUCUGCUCUGCUGUUCUCUUUCUAUUUUAGAGAAUAUCAGGGACUUUAACCUCAUGUUAACACAGCAUAAAUCUCAAAAUGUGUACUUACAGAAGUGGGGACAAAGGCUUCAUUCUUUUAUUUAAUAGACAGAAAUGUGCACAAUAGUGAGAAGAAUGACAGUUCCACUAGUGCUCCUCCUAACAUGGCUGCUGUGGUAAAAUGCUCACCCUGUUGACAUACUUUGGCCCUAAACCACUUUACAAACCACAUUUUGAACCAAUUGGUUUAUAAUUGAGUUGCUCUGUGUUACAUGCUGGCAUAUGUCUGUGUUUAUGAGUAUGGUGAUUUUGUGUCCUCUCAGCAUGGUGGGACACACCCUGGUGGAUAUAGCGUGACUUGAGAGGUCUGACUCUGUGCUUUCGUGACCUCAGAGCUGGCUGCUGAUAUGACACAAGCCUCUUGAGUGUGUGAGCAUUUAUCAAUGAUUUCCAAAACAACAAGCAUGAAGGCAGCUCUUAUUAAAUAGAUGCAGCAUUUACGGGCCUAUCACCCUUUUCUCACUGUGUCAUGACUCCUAGUGACACCAGGCAGGGAAAAAAAUUAUACCUCAUCAGAGACAACACACACACACACACACACACACACACACACACACACACACAUACAUACAUACAUACAUACAUACACACGCACUCCUGCCAUCAUAGCUCCUGCUUAAAUUAAACUACCAUCUGUUAGUCAGCUUGUCACACCAUCUCUUGUGGCGUUGCCUGGCCAGCCAACAUGUGGUGUGUUGGUUUUUCAGAAACUGAAAGCUUUAUUGCUGUUUUAGUGAGGUCUUGCUGCUUGCUCACAAAAGGCAGAGCACCAAGCUUAUGGCUUGUUUUCCAUCUGGUUCAAGAUUUUAAUCCCUCAUCUCAGCCACUCCCGUUUUUAAUCAAAAGCAGAGGAGCAAUUUGGCGGCCACUCAACUAUUGAACUGUUCUUCCUUCUUGUAUCAGAGUUCUAAUGAUACUCUCGUUGCUACUCUGUUGUCACAUCAGGUGCAGGGCAGGGCCGAACCAUCAACAGAUGUCUCCAUCCCUUUUCAUCUACACAAACAUCAGUUUGUCAGAAUAAAUGUGUUCAAUCUGAGCUAUGUUAGUGCAGUUGCAAUUCCCCUGGUUACCAAUAAGCUGAAUGCUGCAUACUACCUUUUUUCUGCCUAUAGUCUCAUUCCUGUAAUAAAAAAAGGGAUUUGUCAAGAAUGAAUUGUAGGAUCCUGGCUGGUUCAUCACAAGGCUUAACCCUUUAUCGUGCAUUCAUUGAAAUACUUGGAAAUUCAAAAUUUCAACCCUAGAGUGUCAUAGCAGGGCACAACAAGACUUUUUUACUUUUGGGACAUUUUUGAAAAUAU